rnacentral:rRNA from 1 species
AGAGUUUGAUCAUGGCUCAGAAUCAACGCUGGCGGCGCGCUUAACACAUGCAAGUCGCACGAGAAAGGGGAGCAAUCCCUGAGUACAGUGGCGUACGGGUGAGUAACACGUGGAUGAUCUACCUUCUAGUGGGGAAUAACCCUGGGAAACCGGGGCUAAUACCGCAUAAGCUCGUGAGAGGAAAGCAGCAAUGCGCUGGAAGAGGAGUCCGCGGCUGAUUAGCUAGUUGGCGGGGUAACGGCCCACCAAGGCGAAGAUCGGUAGCCGGCCUGAGAGGGCACACGGCCACACUGGCACUGAAACACGGGCCAGACUCCUACGGGAGGCAGCAGUGGGGAAUCUUGCACAAUGGAGGAAACUCUGAUGCAACGACGCCGCGUGAGCGAUGAAGCCCUUCGGGGUGUAAAGCUCUUUCGAUGGGAACGAUAAUGACGGUACCCGGAGAAGAAGCUGCGGCUAACUACGUGCCAGCAGCCGCGGUAAUACGUAGGCAGCGAGCGUUGUUCGGAAUUAUUGGGCGUAAAGAGUGUGUAGGCGGUGUUCUAAGUCUGGUGUGAAAUCUCCCGGCUCAACUGGGAGGGUGCGCCGGAUACUGGGAUGCUAGAGGGUGGGAGAGGAAAGCGGAAUUCCUGGUGUAGCGGUGAAAUGCGUAGAUAUCAGGAGGAACACCCGUGGUGUAGACAGCUUUCUGGACCACUUCUGACGCUGAGACACGAAAGCGUGGGUAGCAAACAGGAUUAGAUACCCUAGUAGUCC